CCUACGGGGGGCAGCAGUGGGGAAUAUUGCACAAUGGGCGAAACCCUGAUCCAGCGACGCCGCGUGAGUGAAGAAGUAUCUCGGUAUGUAAAGCUCUAUUAGUAGGGAAGAAAAUGAUGGUACGUGACUUAGAUGCUCCGGCUAACAACGUGCCAGCAGCCCCGGUAAUAUGGAGGGGGCAAGCGUUAUCCGGAUUUACUGGGUGUAAACGGAGCGUAGAGGGAUGGACAAGUCAGGAGUGAAAUCCCGGGGCUUAACCCGGGAACUGCUUUUGAAACUGUGCGGCUUGAGUGCAGGAGAGGUAAGCGGAAUUCCUGGUGUAGCGGUGAAAUGCGUAGAUAUUAGGAAGAACACCGGUGGCGAAGGCGGCUUACUGGACUGUAACUGACGUUGAGGCACGAAAGCGUGGGGAGCAAACAGGAUUAGAUACCCUUGUAGUC
rnacentral:rRNA from 1 species